GUCGCGGUGGCCGAGUGGUUAAGGCGUUGGACUUGAAAUCCAAUGGGGCUUCCCCGCGUAGGUUCGAACCCUGCCCGCGACG